rnacentral:rRNA from 1 species
CGUGCCUAACACAUGCAAGUCGAACGAAGCAAUUGAAGGAAGUUUUCGGAUGGAAUUCGAUUGACUGAGUGGCGGACGGGUGAGUAACGCGUGGAUAACCUGCCUCACACUGGGGGAUAACAGUUAGAAAUGACUGCUAAUACCGCAUAAGCGCACAGUACCGCAUGGUACAGUGUGAAAAACUCCGGUGGUGUGAGAUGGAUCCGCGUCUGAUUAGCCAGUUGGCGGGGUAACGGCCCACCAAAGCGACGAUCAGUAGCCGACCUGAGAGGGUGACCGGCCACAUUGGGACUGAGACACGGCCCAAACUCCUACGGGAGGCAGCAGUGGGGAAUAUUGCACAAUGGGCGAAAGCCUGAUGCAGCGACGCCGCGUGAGUGAAGAAGUAUUUCGGUAUGUAAAGCUCUAUCAGCAGGGAAGAAAAUGACGGUACCUGACUAAGAAGCCCCGGCUAACUACGUGCCAGCAGCCGCGGUAAUACGUAGGGGGCAAGCGUUAUCCGGAUUUACUGGGUGUAAAGGGAGCGUAGACGGCGAAGCAAGUCUGAAGUGAAAACCCAGGGCUCAACCCUGGGACUGCUUUGGAAACUGUUUUGCUAGAGUGUCGGAGAGGUAAGUGGAAUUCCUAGUGUAGCGGUGAAAUGCGUAGAUAUUAGGAGGAACACCAGUGGCGAAGGCGGCUUACUGGACGAUA